GCCCUCGUUGCUCAGUUGGUUAGAGCAUCGCCCAGAUACGCCAAGGUUGUGGGUUCGAUCCUGCUCAGGGCA
rfam:Myotis brandtii contig152240, whole genome shotgun sequence.